UACGUAGGGGGCUAGCGUUGCUCGGAAUCACUGGGCGUAAAGGGUGCGUAGGCGGGUCUUUAAGUCAGGGGUGAAAUCCUGGAGCUCAACUCCAGAACUGCCUUUGAUACUGAAGAUCUUGAGUUCGAGAGAGGUGAGUGGAACUGCGAGUGUAGAGGUGAAAUUCGUAGAUAUUCGCAAGAACACCAGUGGCGAAGGCGGCUCACUGGCCCGAUACUGACGCUGAGGCACGAAAGCGUGGGGAGCAAACAGG
rnacentral:rRNA from 1 species